rnacentral:rRNA from 1 species
GUAGUUAGCCGUGGCUUCCUCCUUAGGUACCGUCAUUAUCGUCCCUAAAGACAGAGCUUUACAAUCCGAAGACCUUCAUCACUCACGCGGCGUUGCUGCAUCAGGGUUUCCCCCAUUGCCCAAUAUUCCCUACUGCUGCCUCCCGUAGGAGUCUGGACCGUGUCUCAGUUCCAGUGUGGCCGAUCAGCCUCUCAGCUCGGCUACCCAUCGUCGACUUGGUGGGCCGUUACCUCACCAACUAUCUAAUGGGACGCGAGCCCCUCCUAAAGCGAUAAAUCUUUGACCCCUUCGCCAUGUGACGCCGUGGUCUUAUGCGGUAUUAGCAGCCGUUUCCAGCUGUUAUCCCCCUCUUUAGGUUAGGUUGCUCACGCGUUACUCACCCGUUCGCCACUAAAAUACUAAACCGAAAUUCAGUAUCUCCGUUCGACUUGCAUGUAUUAGGCACGCCGCCAGCGUUCGUCCUGAGCCAGGAUCAAACUCUGA